rnacentral:rRNA from 1 species
UACGUAGGGUGCAAGCGUUAAUCGGAAUUACUGGGCGUAAAGCGUGCGCAGGCGGUUUUGUAAGACUGUCGUGAAAUCCCCGGGCUUAACCUGGGAAUGGCGAUGGUGACUGCAAGGCUAGAGUUUGGCAGAGGGGGGUAGAAUUCCACGUGCAGCAGUGAAAUGCGUAGAGAUGUGGAGGAACACCGAUGGCGAAGGCAGCCCCCUGGGUCAAAACUGACGCUCAUGCACGAAAGCGUGGGGAGCAAACAGG